rnacentral:rRNA from 1 species
GACGAACGCUGGCGGCGUGCUUAACACAUGCAAGUCGAACGGAAAGGCCCUGCUUUUGUGGGGUGCUCGAGUGGCGAACGGGUGAGUAACACGUGAGUAACCUGCCCUUGACUUUGGGAUAACUUCAGGAAACUGGGUCUAAUACCGGAUAGGAGCUCCUGCUGCAUGGUGGGGGUUGGAAAGUUUCGGCGGUUGGGGAUGGACUCGCGGCUUAUCAGCUUGUUGGUGGGGUAGUGGCUUACCAAGGCUUUGACGGGUAGCCGGCCUGAGAGGGUGAGCGGCAACAUUGGGCCUGAGAUACGGCCCAGACUGCUACGGGGGGCAGCAGUGGGGAAUAUUGCACAAUGGGCGGAAGCCUGAUGCAGCAACGCCGCGUGCGGGAUGACGGCCUUCGGGUUGUAAACCGCUUUCGCCUGUGACGAAGCGUGAGUGACGGUAAUGGGUAAAGAAGCACCGGCUAACUACGUG